AUGGCCUGGUGUUAUCUGUCGCAGUUUUAUUUUAAUCUGUUCUUGAAAACAGAAAAAAAAAAAAAAAUAAAAAUAUUUCUUUAUAAUAGGCAAUAUCUAUCUAUGCUAUGUCAAAUUACUAAUGGUUUUAAAUAACUUUCAAAUAUGCAAUUAGCUCAACCCAUUAAACACCUACUACGUUCAAGGUGUUUUAUUGGAGAAUGCUAGGAAAAUGAUCUCUUUAAGAUGCAGGCUGAAAUUAAUUUGAGAUUAGCAAAUAUUUAAACAAUGAUGAGAUUGCUCUUUUAAAUCCUGUAAUCAAAUAGUUUUAAAAUGUUGCUAAAAUAAGAAUCAAAUAUGGUAAAAUACUAGAUAGUUUAGUAAUGAAGAGUUUAUUUACAAUGUAAUUCUCUUCAGCCUGUCAGAAUAUGCUACUUCUAUUUAACACAAUUUAAGCUAGAUCCAAUGGAUGAUAAUUAUACUGGCUAAAAUUUAUAUAGUACUUACUAUAUAGCAUGCAUUGUUUCUAGUGCCUUACAAUUAUCUCAUUUGAUCCUUACCUUUCAAGGUCUGUGUUAUUAUUAUUACCCUCAUUUUACAUCUGAGAAAAACUGAAGCAAAUAAGUUAAAUUGCUAGUAAGUAUCUGCAUUUGAACUUAAAUCUUCUUUACUCCAAGCCUGGUGCUCUAUCAACUGUGCAACCUAACUUCCUUGAUGGAGCCCUAGCAUAAAAAAGAAUGCUGGGCCUGAGGUAAGAAAGACCUGAUUUCAAAUCCAAUUUCAACCAUGUACUAGCUGUAUGACCUAGGCAAGUCAUCUAGCCUCUUCCUUUUUCCUCAACUCUAAAAUGGGAAUAAUAAUAAUAGCACCUUACCAUGUGAGGAUCAAAAGGAAUAAUAUUGUAAAACUUUUAGCACAGUGCUUGACACAUCUAAGUCUUUAGUAAAUGCUUAUUAGCUAUACAGUACACAGUAGGGGCUUGAAUUCUUUUUCUCUUCCCCUCCCCUUUAUUGGAAUACCUAUUAAUUUUAUUGCCUAUUAAAUUGUGUUUUAGACUACUCUAUUCAAAUUGAAGUACAGAAGUUUCCAGUAGUUCAUAUUCCACCUUUGAUAGUCACAGAUGUCAAAAUUAGAAAACCAUUAUAAAUGCCAUAUUGAAUAUAUCUAUAGAAAUAAAACAGCAUUAUGUCUAAGGACCUGUUAAGUCCAUAACCUGUACAUUUGUU
rnacentral:lncRNA from 1 species